rnacentral:rRNA from 1 species
AUUGAACGCUGGCGGCGGGCUUAACACAUGCAAGUCGAACGACGCCAGGGGGCAACUCCUGGCGAGUGGCGGACGGGUGAGCAAUGCAUCGGAACGUGUCCUCUUGUGGGGGAUAACCAGUCGAAAGACUGGCUAAUACCGCAUGAGAUCGCGAGAUGAAAGCGGGGGAUCCGCAAGGACCUCGCGCGAGAGGAGCGGCCGAUGUCCGAUUAGCUAGUUGGUGAGGUAACGGCUCACCAAGGCGACGAUCGGUAGCUGGUCUGAGAGGACGACCAGCCACAAUGGGACUGAGACACGGCCCAGACUCCUACGGGAGGCAGCAGUGGGGAAUUUUGGACAAUGGGCGCAAGCCUGAUCCAGCCAUGCCGCGUGUGUGAAGAAGGCCUUCGGGUUGUAAAGCACUUUCGGACGGAACGAAAUCGCGCGGGUGAACAAUCCGCGUGGAUGACGGUACCGUAAGAAGAAGCACCGGCUAACUACGUGCCAGCAGCCGCCGCGGUAA